AAGAGAUCAACAAUCUAAACUAAGAAGGCACAAGAUUUUAUUUUAUUCUCCUACGUGCAUGAGUGAUGGAAGUGGCAUGCAAGUGGAGAUCAGAGGACAACUUUCAGGAGUUGGUUCUCUCUUUCCCACGGGAUCCAGAACUCAACAGUCAGCAGCAGGGGGAGCACUGUAAAGACAGAUGGGAUAUGGUUAAUUAACUGAAAGAUAAUGAGAUCUAACCACCAUAUUUCUUUGACUGGAAAAACACCGCUUGGGGGCUAGAGAGAUGGCUCAGUGGUAAAGAGCAUCGACUGCUCUUCUGAAGGUCCUGAGUUCAAAUCCCAGCAACCACAUGGUAGCUCACAACCAUCCGUAAUGAGAUCUGACGCCCUCUUCUAGUGCAUCUGAAGACAGCUACAGUGUACUUAGAUAUAAUAAUAAAAAAAUAAUAAUAAUAAUAAAACACAGCUUAGGGUUUGGAAAAA
rnacentral:lncRNA from 1 species